rnacentral:lncRNA from 1 species
AACAAACCAGAUUGACAGUGGACAACGCAGCCUCAUGGAAAGAAGACUUGAAAGCAGAGAAUUACCAGUCAUCCUGAUGUUGUUGGAAAUCACUGCCAAUGCGGGCCAGAAAAUUGGAACCUUGAUAGACUUGGCGUCUGACACUAAUUACAUCACUCAUAAAGCUGCCAGGAGACUAAACCUGAAAAGUGAGAAGAUCACACUAGUUGUCCAUGGAGUUGGAGGGAUGACUACAAAAGUAAAGACAAGAAGAUACCUUUUAAGAGUCAGAGUCAAAACCCCCCAGGGAACACAGAAGGCUCAUCAACUCAUCUGCUACGGCCUUAACGAGAUUGCCAAAGUAAAUCAAGUUAUUCAACCAGAGCAGCUGAGGAAGUUCUUCCCGGAUACCGAACUGGAGGAUCUGAGAAGACCAGAAACCAUAGACCUUCUCAUCAGUCACAGAGAAGGGAGACUGGCCCCUCAAAGACUGAAGAUGGUAGGAGAUCUUGUUCUCUGGGAUAGUCCUCUGGGGAAAACUGUGGGUGGGGCUCACCCUGACCUCUUUGAAGGUGUUGAUGUCACAGCUCACAAUUGCAAAACACACUUUGCCCGCUCCAUGAGAACAGCUGCAGUGAAGUACAUGGAAAUCCCCAGUGCACCUGACAGUAGGACAGCAGUUGCUGCCAGAGAGUUCCUGGACUGGUGGAAAUGGGAGAGUAUUGGAGCAGCCUGUGAGCCCAAGUGUGGGGGAUGUCUCUGUGGUAAAUGUCCACCAGGAGGGAAGGAAAUGUCACUAGUUGAGGAAAAGGAGCUUGAAGUUAUAAGACAAGGCCUCACCAAUGUCACAUCAGAUUCCCAUAGCAGUGCUCCCCAUUGGGACACAAAAUACCCCUGGAUUGCAGAUCCAUCCUGUCUUCCAAAUAACAGAAAAGGAGUGGAAGCAACUUUCCUGAGAACAGAGAGACAACUCAACAGAGAACCUGAGUGGAAGGAAGCCUAUACUGCCCAAGUCCACGAGAUGGUGGAGAGGAGAGCUGCCAUAAGACUGACAAAUGAGGACCUAAACAGUUGGAA